UUAAUAUUAUAACAAUAGUGAUAAAAACAAUGUUUUCAUGGGGGGGUUGUUCAUCUUCUCACCUAGCCGAACUUGUGAGGAGGGGAGGGGAAAAAUUCCUAAGGCAUUUGGCACUUUGUUUUCUUCUAUUAGCUCGAGAACCAAGGACACCAAAUUCGGAUAGGGGGAAAAUGAAAGUACUCGAAUAGCUGUAUAUAAUCGUUCAACCACUUUUGAGGUUUAUACUUUAGCUCGAGUUGGAAGGGCCGGAGAUAUCAUCACACUAUCGAGUCAUUAUGUGAGUUGAGAAGAUUGUAUAUCAUCAUGGUUUAAGGCAUGUAUAGGAUAGACUAUAGGUAGAAUGAUAUUUCGACCUUGUAUACAUUAUAGCCAUGCGAAGAUGGCUUGCUCAUUUUGUUUAGAGAAACCUUAUAAUUGAACUAAUGUGGUGAAAUGUUUUAGUUAUAACUUGACAGUAGUUAAUUUGUUAUUAGAUAUUCGGUUAUGUUUUGAUAGUGAGUAUCUUUGACCUUAUAGAA